rnacentral:lncRNA from 1 species
CAGCUGAAGAGGAAGACAUCAUAUAUAAUGUGCAUGAAAAAAACACCACUUCAUGCAUGACAGCUCAGAGGUCACUUUAAAAUAUCACAGGAUGUUCUGGGUUCUGCGGGAUCAGAUGGAGCAGCAGGUGCAGGUGUGGUCAGAUGCUUCUGGACGGGAACAUAAUCCUGUAGCUUCCUCACAGCUUUACUGCAGAAAUCUGCUGCUUCUUCACGACUGCUGCCAUCAAACUGCAGUCGGAUCAGACGGCUCUCUCCCUUACAGAUUCACAGAACAACGAAAAAUGAAAGACGAGGAGGCGGGGAAAUGCCUUUAGGACAGCACGAGCACAUGAGGAUCCUCCUGUGUCUGACGCCUGGUAAACUGCAGAUCAAGGAUCAUUCUCACCUUCAUUGCAAUGUUGAACAGCAAACUGUCUGAUUUAUGCUGGAUUUUCAGGAAGCUCUGGGCAUUAAGCAGAGAAAAGCCCUCCUACAAACAGAAGAAAACAGGAGCACACAUCAUCAUUAUCCAGCAGAGACUGAUUUAAUAGGAUUAUAUCAGGCUGAAAACACAUCAUAUAAGCAGAACAGCAUGAACCUGCCAUCAGCAGCCUCCUCCAGGGUUUCCAUUAGAACAUAACAGAGAAUGGUUCUGUAGUUUCUGCCAAAACCAUGAAUUGAGCGAUCAAUUAAUGUUUUACACAUCUACAUUUUAAUCUUCUAGAGAAAAUGUUUUUUUAUUAAUGCAAAAGCUACAAUGCAAAUGCAGGAAUGCUAUGCAUGUGAAGUGUGCUUGUGUAUAUACAGUUGAGGUCAGAAUUAUUCACCCCCUUUUAAUUUUGAUUUUCUUUUUUAAAUAUUUCCUAAAUUAUGUUUAACAGAGCAAGGAAAUUUUCACAGUAUGUCUGAUAAUAUUUUUUUCUUCUGGAGAAAGUCUUAUUUGUUUUAUUUCAGCUAGAAUAAAAGCAGUUAUUAAUUUUAUAAAAGCCAUUUUAAGGUCAAUAUUAUUAGCCCCUUAAGCUAUAUUUUUUCUCGAUAGUCUACAGAACAAACCAUCAUUAUACAAUAACUUGCCUAAUUACCCUAACCUGCCUAUAGUUAACCCAAUUACCCUAGUGAAGCCUUUAAAUGUCACUUUAAGCUGUAUAGAAGUGUCUUGAAGAAUAUCUAGUCUAAUAUUAUUUACUGUCAUCAUGACAAAGAGAAAAUAAAUCAGUUAUUAGAAAUGAUUUAUUAACACUAUUAUGUUUAGAAAUGUGCUGAAAAUAAAAUCUGCUCUCCGUUAAACAGAAAUUGAGGGAAAAAUAAACAGGGGGGCUAAUAAUUUUGACCAGCUGUAUACUGAAAUUUUCCUUCAGUGCCUCCAUUCUAAAAUAAAGCAGCUUCUCCAUUGAG